AUUAAUGCUAUGAAAAGAAGAGUAUUAAGGAGAGUUUUCUAAAGAGAGCUGGGGUAGGUGAAAGCCAGUGAGAAUAAACCUUGAGAACAUGGCCUUGGAGCAGAUUUUCUGAAAUUUAUUUAGGAAAAUACGGUGGCAACCGAUAUAUUGCAGGGUGAUAAAACCUUUUUAGGGGAGUCACUUAUUAAGGUACUUAUUGUGAAAUAAGUAUGAAGUAGAGUGGUAACACGUAUAUUACGUCUCUAUG
rnacentral:ncRNA from 1 species